rnacentral:rRNA from 1 species
ACCUACGGGGCGCAGCAGUGAGGAAUAUUGGUCAAUGGGAGAGAUCCUGAACCAGCCAAGCCGCGUGAGGGAAGACGGCCCUAUGGGUUGUAAACCUCUUUUGUCGGAGAACAAAACCCGGGACGUGUCCCGGACUGCGUGUAUCCGAAGAAAAAGCAUCGGCUAACUACGUGCCAGCAGCCGCGGUAAUACGUAGGGGGCAAGCGUUAUCCGGAUUUACUGGGUGUAAAGGGAGCGUAGACGGCAGAGCAAGUCUGAAGUGAAAGCCCGCGGCCCAACUGCGGGACUGCUUUGGAAACUGCCCG